rnacentral:tRNA from 1 species
CGCGGGGUGGAGCAGCCCGGUAGCUCACUAGGCUCAUAACCUAGGGGUCGCAGGUUCAAAUCCUGCCCCCGCAACCA